CAGCCGCCGCGGUAAUACAGAGGAUGCAAGCGUUAUCCGGAAUGAUUGGGCGUAAAGCGUCUGUAGGUGGCUUUUCAAGUCCGCCGUCAAAUCCCAGGGCUCAACCCUGGACAGGCGGUGGAAACUACCAAGCUGGAGUACGGUAGGGGCAGAGGGAAUUUCCGGCGGAGCGGUGAAAUGCGUUGAGAUCGGAAAGAACACCAACGGCGAAACCACUCUGCUGGGCCGACACUGACACUGAGAGACGAAAGCUAGGGGAGCAAAUGGGAUUAGAUACCCCCGUAGUCCCUGUCUCUUAUAC
rnacentral:rRNA from 1 species